rnacentral:rRNA from 1 species
UACGGGGGGGUAAGCGUUGUUCGGAAUUACUGGGCGUAAAGGGCUCGUAGGCGGCCAACUAAGUCGGACGUGAAAUCCCUCAGCUUAACUGGGAACUGCGUCCGAUACUGGAUGGCUUGGAUUGGGAGAGGGAUGCGGAAUUCCCGGUGUAGCGGUGAAAUGCGUAGAGAUCGGGAGGAACACCGGCGGCGAAGGCGGCUGCCUGGACCAGUCCUGACGCUGAGGCGCGAAAGCUAGGGGAGCAAACAGG